AUUGAACGCUGGCGGCAGGCCUAACACAUGCAAGUCGAGCGGUGAGAGGUAGCUUGCUACUGAUCUUAGCGGCGGACGGGUGAGUAAUGCUUAGGAAUCUGCCUAUUGGUGGGGGACAACAUUUCGAAAGGAAUGCUAAUACCGCAUACGUCCUACGGGAGGAAGCAGGGGAUCUUCGGACCUUGCGCUAAUAGAUGAGCCUAAGUCGGCUUAGCUAGUUGGUGGGGUAAAGGCUUACCAAGGCGACGAUCUGUAGCGGGUCUGAGAGGAUGACCGGCCACACUGGGACUGAGACAAGGCCCAAACUCCUACGGGAGGCAGCAGUAGGGAAUAUUGGGCAAUGGGCGAAAGUCUGAUCGAGCAAUGCCGCGUGUGUGAAGAAGGCUUUCGGAUUGUAAAGCACUUUUGUCCGGAAAGAACAAGCACGGGUUAAUCCCUGGAGUCGAUGACGGUACCGAAAGAAAAAGGACCGGCUAACUACGUGCCAGCAGCCGCCGUAA
rnacentral:rRNA from 1 species